UCUCAGAAGAGAAAUGCUGAGAGAAGGAGAGUAAGAGAAAGAACCCCAUGAAACACACAGGAAUGUCAAGUUGGCUGUUAAGGCUGGGACAACUCAAGUGUUCAGCACAUAUAAUCACACUGAGGAUCUGAUGACUGAUUAUUAUUGACAUUACCUAAUUCAAUCUGAUUCAUCACUUGUGCAAGACCAAGAAAUGAGAGAGAGCGCACAUAAGCAGGUGGAAUGGCAGGCAGAGGAAGAGGAAGAAGCAGGCUCCCUGCCAAGCAGAGAGAGACCUAUGCAGGGUUUGAUCCCAGGAACCAGGUUCAUGAUCCAAGCGGAAGGCAGACACCAACCAACUGAGCCACCCAGGCGUCCCGGUCCUGCAUUCUUACGUCAUUUUGAAUGAUCACCAUACUAUUAAUUUUAAGUCAGUUGCUUUUGUCAUCUAUUCUUCUAAUUGCCUGGACUUGUUUUUGUACUUUGGCAAAGGCAAAAAGACCAACCCAGACUUGGGUGAGAAUCAUUUUUGGAAUAAUGGUGGGUGGUUAUUCACAUCUGGAUUAGGUAUAAAACGAUAAUAUUAUGAUGAUGAAUGCCACAGAGCCUCAUCUGCAUAUAAAUAGACCUAAUCAGAAAUGCAAAUUGCAAUCAGAAGAAAUUUUUAAAGGCUGUGUGAUUGUGCAGAUAACGAAAGGUUAACACUUGCAUUGUUAAAGUAGUUAAACAGCUCAGGCUCCAGCUCCGGCUCAGCCUGCCCAGAGUCUUCCUUUGAAAGAGAAAUGUGGAGGGUACAAAUCUCUUAAUCUGCAACCUGGCCAGGACAGAACUCCCUGAUUGCUUCGUUUUCUGUAACUAGAGGCUUAAGCAGCCAAACAGCAGCCUGAUUCUGCUGCAAGACAAACCACCAAACCUCUUGUACAAACCCCUAAUGAAUACAUACAAUAGAAAAUAUACUGGUAUUUAAAUACCCUCCAAACAGACCUCUUUCAGCACAAUGUCCCAUUGAGAUGGAAAUCAGGGGAUGGAGACAAGGUCUUAUAAACUGAUUCACUUUUCUGACAUUUUUUAGUGCUCUCAAGUGGAUAUGAAAAUAUAAUACAUGUUUUUUAUCCUCAAAUUUUCUUGAAUACUCGAGAAAGAUUCAAACAACGAUCAGAUGUGAUUAUACAAUUAAAAAGAAAACACUAGUAUUUAGACAGAUUACUUAAUCCAAAAUCGCAUGUUUAGUCCUGCAAAGCAUAGUGAACAAGUAUCUCGGAAAAAUCAGAGUACUGAAAAUAAAUGCAAUGGUUACGACACAGUCCUUUUAUUUCUUGGGAUGUGCUAUCUUUUGGGAAUAUCCAUCCUCUUUCUUCCUCCACCACCCCACCCAGCUUUUCCCCAAAAGAAAUACAUUUUACAAUUAGGCUUUCUCAGGUUUGGCCAGAAAUUGUUUACAAACUAUUUAUUAUCCCUCUUAAGCAGCCCUCUCACAAAGAACUAAUGAGCCAAGAGCGCCAUCUUGUGUCCUACCUUGGAAUCUUAAAAAGCGUUUUCACAGGAUGCAUGUCAAAGAGGGGAGGGUCUCCGUCCCCCAGUUCAAUAGCUGUGAUCCCCAAGGACCAGACGUCACAGCGAGCGUCAUAGGAAGAGUCAUACUGCUGCUCACAAGCAAUGACCUAUCAGACAAAAGCAAAACACAUCAACCCCAACUGGUACCUGGGAUGUCCUAAAAGGCCCUUGCAUGAUCUUAGCCCCCUCUUAUUUCCUUUGGUUACACUGAGAGUGAAUCCCGGGGAAAAUAAGUACAACAAACAUCCAUUGAACCCUCUAGGUACCAAGCACAAUGCAGGUAGAGGCACAAGAGUGGAUACCUCACUCAGCCUGCUCUGACAUUUCUUACGGAAAGGCUUUGUCUGCAUCCUUCACUUCAUUACCAGCAGCUGAAUUCAACAGCAAGGAACAGUUUGCAAAGAUGCUUGUUUCCUGCACAAAAUCCCCAGGAGUGUGGCCAAUUGAGCAGAAAGAUGUUUGGAAGACUGAUGCGCUAAACAUAAAAUAGGAACCACUCCCUCCCAUCCCUUUUUUCUAAGAACACUUGCCCCUCCUCAAACUCCAACAACUGGUUUGUAUUUUAGUAGCAGCUACCCCUUCAGUUAUUGGCCUUACUGUGUACAAGAGCAGCAGAACCAGAAAAUGCCCCUGGGCUUGUCCCUGGAUCUGGGGAACAUGGAACCCUGUGGGGAAAUCUCUAUCAACUUUUUGAUAGACAGAAAAAACCCCUCCACUGAGACUCGUGGCUGUCACGUGGGGUUGGAAGAAGGCGGAGGUGAACCAGAGAAUGUCGAAGAACCAGGUGUCCCUCCCUAUUUGACCUAAAAUUUGCCUCCUCAACCAAGGAUGACCCUUGGCUAUAGGCAGGUAGGACACUGUGAAGGUCUGAUGAUGUACUGCUCCACACAGCCUAUGAGGUAGGCAAAUGACAACAGUGAAGAGCACUGAGGGGACAGAGUGAAGAGCCUGCCUGCCCUGUCCAGCCACCAGAAGGUACUUGGCUUUGACUCUGAGUAAAAUGGGCCAACUGGCUAUAAGAGCAGAGUGACAGAUUUGGCCUACAUGUUAGCAAGAUCAUUCUGGCUGCUAUGCUGAGGAUACAUUAAAAUGGGACAUGAGUAGAAGAAGCAAAACCACUUAAAAUGCUCCUACAAGAAUCCAAACUAAGACAGUAAGAAAUAAUCAGACUGAUUAUAUAAUCUUGAAGGUAGAGCCAACUAGAUUUGCUGACUGGGGCUUAUGAGAAAGAGGAAUUGAAAACGAGUUGACAGUUUUUGACAUGAGCAAUUCCAGAAUGGAACUGGUAUAUGGUGAGAUGGGGAAGACAGAAGGAGAAGCAGCUUUAGAUUAAAAGGCAUGUCCAUUUAAGAGAUGGUUAAGUCUGAGAUGCCUAUGAGACUUCCAGAUGGAGAAGUUCCUUUUAGCCAGGUAAGUCUCAUACCGACUGACCUAGAGAAUAAAUGUGUGUUGUUUUAAGCCUCACGUGUGCAAUAUUAUAAUGGCAGUGACAGAAAACUAUUAUAUACCUGCUCUUUGCCAGACCCACUUAAUUGGACUUGCAAUGCCAAAUAUGCCUACCAUCUUGCCUGAGAGCUGGUGCUCUUGCUACUAUAAUUGUCCUCCACCUUUUCUUCAGGGAAGAACUGAAGUACAUUCUUUCAUGUACCUGCAUCCCUGGUCUGAUACAAGCUCCAUCCUCUGAACAGACUAGCCUGACAUAAUAUCCUGCCAUACUUUUAAUACAUGAUUUUCUUUCUUUAAAAAAAAAAAAAAAGAUUUAAUUUAUU